UAAACAUGUGUUCGCUCCCAGCUGCGUUUUGGUCUACCUUUUCCGACGAUGAUUUCGUUAUAUCGUCUGAAGACGAAGAUAUUCGUUACAGAACAACCCACCGAACCAGGACCAAGCAGCGGGAGGAAAAGGAGCGCGAGAGAUGGGCUCGCGAGGGGAAGGAGUUCUGGACCUGGGAGGAGAUCAUGUCGGGGAGAGGACCCUGGCGGAAGGAUUCCCAGGUCGAGGAGGUAAAGCCAGCCGGUAGACGGAGUCGCAGGCGGCGGUCGAGGAGGCCCGGAAAACACCCCCAAGAAAAUUUUGGGGGGGGGCUAAUGGGGUGGUCCGGAAGGGCAGAGGAAGAGCCCAGACCACUGCUCUCGUGGGGGAUGACGGCGGAGGGAAGAGAAGGAGAUGAGGCGUUUGAUUGAGGACCUGCAGAGGGAAGAUCUGGAGGAGGAGCCAUGGUAUGCUGAGUUGCGCGCUGUGUCGCCAGUGCGCCCGCACAGCCCGGUGCGUCCGGUGGACAUGCCCAGCACAUGCCGUGCUAGGAUGGGCAUCCAGCCAGGACGAGUGGCUAAACCGGCUCCACGCUUCAGGUCACCAGUGCGUGUUCACAGUCCUGUCUGGCCCGUUCCUGUUCCCCGCACCAAGCCCACGGUGCGUGUACCCAGUCCUGUCCGGCCCGUCCCUGCUCCCCGCACCAAGCCAUGGUAUGCAGAGUUGCGCGCUGUGUCGCCAGUGCGCCCGCACAGCCCAGUGCGUCCGGUGGACAUGCCCAGCACAUGCCGUGCUAGGAUGGGCAUCCAGCCAGGACGAGUGGCUAAACCGGCUCCACGCUUCAGGUCACCAGUACGUGUUCACAGUCCUGUCUGGCCCGUCCCUGCUCCCCGCACCAGGUUAGUGGUGCGUGUCCCCAGUCCUGUCCGGCCCGUCCCUGCUCCCCGCACAAGGUUAGUGGUGCGUGUCCCCAGUCCUGUCCGGCCCGUCCCUGCUCCCCGCACCAGGUUAGUGGUGCGUGUCCCCAGUCCGGUCCGGCCCGUCCCUGCUCCCCGCACCAAGUCAGUGGUGCAUGUCCCCAGUCCGGUCCGGCCCGUCCCUGCUCCCCGCACCAGGUUAGUGGUGCGUGUCCCCAGUCCUGUCCGGCCCGUCCCUGCUCCCCGCACCAGGUUAGUGGUGCGUGUCCCCAGUCCGGUCCGGCCCGUCCCUGCUCCCCGCACCAGGUUAGUGGUGCGUGUCCCCAGUCCUGUCCGGCCCGUCCCUGCUCCCCGCACCAGGUUAGUGGUGCGUGUCCCCAGUCCUGUCCGACCCAUCCCUGUUCCCCGCACCAAGCCCACGGUGCGUGUCCACAGUCCUGUCCGGCCCGUCCCUGUUCCCCGCACCAAGCCCACGGUGCGUGUCCACAGUCCUGUCCGGCCCGUCCCUGUUCCCCGCACCAAGCCCACGGUGCGUGUCCACAGUCCUGUCCGGCCCGUCCCUGUUCCCCGCACCAAGCCCACGGUGCGUGUCCACAGUCCUGUCCGGCCCGUUCCUGAUCCCCGCACCAAGCCCACGGUGCGUGUCCACAGUCCGGCACGGCCCGUG
rnacentral:lncRNA from 1 species